UACGAAGGGGGCUAGCGUUGCUCGGAAUCACUGGGCGUAAAGCGCACGUAGGCGGAUCUUUAAGUCAGUGGUGAAAUCCUGGAGCUCAACUCCAGAACUGCCUUUGAUACUGAGGAUCUCGAGUCCGGGAGAGGUGAGUGGAACUGCGAGUGUAGAGGUGAAAUUCGUAGAUAUUCGCAAGAACACCAGUGGCGAAGGCGGCUCACUGGCCCGGUACUGACGCUGAGGUGCGAAAGCGUGGGGAGCAAACGGG
rnacentral:rRNA from 1 species